rnacentral:rRNA from 1 species
CCUACGGGUGGCUGCAGUGGGGAAUAUUGCACAAUGGGCGCAAGCCUGAUGCAGCCAUGCCGCGUGUGUGAAGAAGGCCUUCGGGUUGUAAAGCACUUUCAGCGGGGAGGAAGGCGGUGAGGUUAAUAACCUCAUCGAUUGACGUUACCCGCAGAAGAAGCACCGGCUAACUCCGUGCCAGCAGCCGCGGUAAUACGGAGGGUGCAAGCGUUAAUCGGAAUUACUGGGCGUAAAGCGCACGCAGGCGGUCUGUCAAGUCGGAUGUGAAAUCCCCGGCUCAACCUGGGAACUGCAUUCGAAACUGGCAGGCUAGAGUCUUGUAGAGGGGGGUAGAAUUCCAGGUGUAGCGGUGAAAUGCGUAGAGAUCUGGAGGAAUACCGGUGGCGAAGGCGGCCCCCUGGACAAAGACUGACGCUCAGGUGCGAAAGCGUGGGGAGCAAACAGGAUUAGAUACCCCGGUAGUC